rnacentral:rRNA from 1 species
UUUCCAGACUCCUACGGGAGGCAGCAGUCGGGAAUAUUGCGCAAUGGAGGGAACUCUGACGCAGUGACGCCGCGUAUAGGAAGAAGGUUUUCGGAUUGUAAACUAUUGUCGUUAGGGAAGAAAAAAGACAGUACCUAAGGAGGAAGCCCCGGCUAACUAUGUGCCAGCAGCCGCGGUAAUACAUAGGGGGCAAGCGUUAUCCGGAAUUAUUGGGUGUAAAGGGUGCGUAGACGGGUGUUUAAGUUGGUUGUGAAAUCCCUCGGCUCAACUGAGGAACUGCAACCAAAACUGGAUAUCUUGAGUGUCGGAGAGGAAAGUGGAAUUCCUAGUGUAGCGGUGAAAUGCGUAGAUAUUAGGAGGAACACCAGUGGCGAAGGCGACUUUCUGGACGAUAACUGACGUUGAGGCACGAAAGUGUGGGGAGCAAACAGGAUUAGAUACCCCUGUAGC